CCUGGCUCUCAGCCACUAUUGUUUGUGAGGUGUAUAAAUAUAACACUGAUACUGUGAAAGAGCUGCUGAAUAAAGCCGUGUCUCAUCUACCUGCUGUCUCCCAAGUGUUCUUCCAGCUCCCUGCCCCUCAUCAACCCACUCUCCUCAGACCUCAGCUGGGGCUUGAACCUGAUAAUUGGUGUAGUCAUCAGGAUGAGCUGUACCCUUCAUCACGAAUUUGAUGGACUGCUUGACAAUGGAACUGGAAGAGUACCACUUUGUGGUGGACUUAGCUAAUGCAGUCUUCUCCAUUGACAUUGCUCCAGAGAGCCAGGAGAAGUUUGUCUUCACGUGGGAAGGAUGACAAUGGACUUUCACCAUGCUGCCACAGGGCUGUGUGCAUAGCCCCACCAUUUGUCCUGGUCUUGUUGCCAUGGAUUUAGCUGCCUGGAAAUGCCCAAAAGGGGUCUGCCUGUUUCAUUACAUUGAUGAUAUGUUAACCUCUGAUUCUCUCACAGAUUUAGAAGUGGUGGUGCCCCUCUUGUGACAGCAUUUGGCAGUGUGCAGUUGGGCCAUCAAUAAAUCCAAGGUCCAAGGGCCGGAAUUGUCUGCCAAAUUCUUGGGAGUUAUUUGCUCAGGUAAGACAAAGAUCAUACCUGAGGCCAUCAUUGAUAAGAUCUAGGCAUACCUCCGACCUACCACAGUGAGGCAGCUGCAGACUUUUGGGGGCCUCUUGGAGUAUUGACAGGCAUUUGUGCCCCAUUUGGCUCAAACGAUAAAACCGUUGUACCAGUUAACAAAAAAAGGGGGCUAUUAGGGAUUGGGAUGAUGAGGCUGAAACAGACUUUCUGGCCACAAGUGGGCCAUUUGGCAAGCACAGACCUCACAAGUAAUUGAUCAGGGGCGCCCACUUGAACCUGAUGUACAUGGAACCACAGAUGGUUUUGGUUGGGGCCCAUGGCAGUGCAUGGAGCACUUUAGAACACCAGUAGGCUUUUGGUCCCAGCUGUGGAAGGGAGCUGAGCUCCAGUAUUCAUUAAGAGAGAACUAAUUAGCUGCUGCAUAUGCUACUCUUCAGGCCUGUGAGAGCAUGAUGGGACGGGCUACAGCCAUCGUGUGGAUGACUUACCCAAUAGAGGAGUGGGUAUGUUCAUGGGUAAUGACCCCCUGGACUGGAAUGUUACAGACAUUCGCUUUACAGAAGUGGGGUGCCUACUUGGAGCGGCAGAGUACAAUCCCUUAGCAGCAGAUUGUCCUUAGCAGCAGGUAGUCCUAAUGCAAGAUAAGGCCAUGGGGCCUGAGGCACCCCAGACCCUGAGCCAUCCCAGUUUAAGGAAGGGCAUCCUGCCAUUCCUGAUGGGGCAUGGUAUACAGAUGGGUCCAGCCAAGGUGCUGCUGCUGCCUGGACUGCUAUAGCAGUCCAGCCCAGCACCAACACCAUGUGGGUUGAUACUAGGUGUGGACAAAGCAGCCAAAGGGCUGAACUCAGAGUGGUGGGGAUGGUGAUAACCAGGGAGGAGUCACCUAUGGUACUUUGCACCAAUAGCUGGGCAGUCUAUUGAGGUUUAACCUUGUGGUUGACUACCUGGAAAUUACAGAAUUGGCUUAUUUGACCCCAAAUCAGCCCAUUUGGGGUCAACCAUGAGGCAAGACCUCUGGGAAACAGGUAAUCAGAAUGUGUCAAGCCAUAUGCCUUUGGCUACCCCUGGUAAUGAUGAAACAGACUCCUUGACAAAGGUCCGAUGAUUAGAGUCAGCACCUACACGAGAUGUGUCUCCAGAGGUAUGUCUCCAGAUGGAGACAACUGCCCAAUGUAACACAACAAGUGACAGUAGGGCAGGUGCCCUUGACCAGAUGGCAAUGAGAUUACAUUGGGCCAUUGCCAAAAUCGCAGGGCUACACGUAUACACUGAUGGCUGUAGACACGGCCAUUGGCUUAUUGUUCACCUACCCUUGCAGGGUGGCUGGCCAGCAACACACCAUUUGAGCCCUGCAACACUUAUGUGACUUAUAUGGCCAUCCCCUGGCCAUUGAAAGUGAUAGUGGAACACAUUUUACUGGACAGCAGGACUUAUAUGGCCAUCCCUUGGCCAUUGAAAGUGAUAGUGGAACACAUUUUACUGGACAGCAGCCACAGGUUGGCAUGCUCCAACAACAUUGUGGACUGGGCUCACACCUAUGCUGAGGUGGCCAAUGUCUCCAACUGUUAGAUCUGCACCACCCUUCCAGCAGCAGCUGUGGAUGGCUUGCCUUGGCAUGUGCAUCCAGCUUUUGUGAAGAACUGGACAUGGCUAGAAACUUGGGGUCCCACAGACAAUGGGCGGGAUGCAACAUGGUGAGCUUUGGAUGGGGGUGUCACAAAACCCAUGGCAAGCCUGCCCCCUGGCUGACUCAUAGCAUCCAUGAUGAAUGGGGCUGGCUAAUGGGAGAAAACAUGGUGGCCCCAUUGCAAGUACCACGAUGUAUAGAGCAACACUGGGGUAAGGUCACUGUGGGAUGGUUGCCUGCUGAGACCUGUGCAAACGUAACACAUGCCACCAUGCCAAGGAUGUGGUGGAACAAGCAGCCCUACCAAGGCUGGGCCCCCAUGGACUUUGUGCCUGCUGGGAGUUUAUAGGUCUGUGGGGACAUAGGAUGGCCAUAUCUGCCAGCCAACUAGACUGGACAUUGUACCUGGGAGUGGCCUUCUGUGCCUGCCACUGUGCUUCCCACAUUGCUUAGUCACACACAUAACUGGGAGGUGCUGUGUUCCCAGUUUUUGUGAGUGCAUUGAGCCCCUAGUGGUUCUACCCCUUAGCAAUAACUGUCCCUGGAACAGGUGUCAUCACUGUAGAAAUGCAGGUUACAGCCCUUGCAGAACACAGAGAUUGGGCCCAUGAAUUACACCUGAGCUGCCCUCCUUUUGUUAAUUGAUGAGUUUGAUCAGAUCAGGAAGGUGGUGAUGCAAAACCGGAUGGCCUUAGACAUAGUCACAGCUGCUCAAGGUGGCACCUGUGCCCUUGUAGGGACAGAGUGUUGUACAUUCAUCCCUGACAACCACCAGAACAUAGUGGCAGCUUUGCAGGGGGUGUCAUGUCAUAGGAGAUUAAGGCAAUUGAAUACCUUACUGAUGACCGCCUGCAGAGAUGGUGGGUGUCUCUGGGCUCUGGCCUACACUGGGCUCUUAUAAUCAUAGGUAGCAUAGCAGGAAUAUUAGUAGUAGGUUGUUGCUCUCUUUAUUGUUGCUGUGGCCUCUGGGUCCAGGGUGCUCCCCUAUGUGCACGAGUUCCCAUUAAGAGGACCCCCUUGGCCUAGGGGGCGGAGUGUAAGGAACAUGGCUGUGUUGCUGCCAGGCAGGCAUAGGCCGAGGUAAAAAUCCUGCAUGACACAGUGGGAUUAGAGCACACGCGCGCAAUCCUGUGCCUGAUAUAAUCACAGCUAGGUAGACAUAACACAGAGAAGCUCAUCAUUUGGCUCUCAGCCACUAUCAUUUGUGAGGUGUACAAAUGUAACACUGACACUGUGAAAGAGCUGCUGAAUAAAGCCAUGUCUCAUCUACCUGCUCUCUCUCGAGUGUUCUUCCAGCUCCCUGCCCCCCGCCCCAUCUACCCACACCCCUCUGACCUCAGCUGGGGCUUGAAACUGACAUUUGCUUUAUUGUACUUUGCAGAUACUUAAAAAAAAAACCAAAUUAAAGUUUUGUGGCAACCCUGUGUUGAGCAAGC
rnacentral:lncRNA from 10 species